GAUGAACGCUAGCGGCAGGCUUAACACAUGCAAGUCGAGGGGCAGCGUGAUGAAGUAGCAAUACGGAUUUGACGGCGACCGGCGCACGGGUGCGUAACGCGUAUGUAACCUACCUUUAACAGGGGGAUAACACUGAGAAAUUGGUACUAAUACCCCAUAAUACUCUGGGAGGCAUCUUUUGGAGUUGAAAGUUCCGGCGGUUAAAGAUGGACAUGCGUUGUAUUAGCUAGAUGGUGAGGUAACGGGUCACCAUGGGGACGAUACAUAGGGGGACUGAGUGGUUAACCCCCCACACUGGAACUGAGACACGGACCAGACUCCUACGGGAGGCAGCAGUGAGGAAUAUUGGUCAAUGGACGCAAGUCUGAACCAGCCAUGCCGCGUGCAGGAAGACGGCUCUAUGAGUUGUAAACUGCUUUUGUACAAGGGUAAACCUCGGUACGUGUACCGAGCUUAAAGUACUGUACGAAUAAGGAUCGGCUAACUCCGUGCCAGCCGCCGCCGUAAAAC
rnacentral:rRNA from 1 species